GUUAGUGGCAGACGGGUGAGUAUGCGUAGGAAUCUACCUAGUAGUAUGGAAUAGCCAUUAGAAAUGAUGGGUAAUACUGUAUAAUCCCUGCGGGGGAAAGAUUUAUCGCUAUUAGAUGAGCCUACGUUAGAUUAGCUAGUUGGUAAGGUAAUGGCUUACCAAGGCUAUGAUCUAUAGCUGGUCUGAGAGGACGAUCAGCCACACUGGAACUGAGAUACGGUCCAGACUCCUACGGGAGGCAGCAGUGGGGAAUAUUGGACAAUGGGCGAAAGCCUGAUCCAGCUAUGCCGCGUGAGUGAAGAAGGCCUUCGGGUUGUAAAACUCUUUCAAUAGGGAAGAUAAUGACGGUACCUAUA
rnacentral:rRNA from 1 species